CAAAAUUCUUGGCUGGAAUUUACUCUGUUUAAGAAGACUAAAAAUGGGACUCCAGUCUCUUCUGGCUUGAAAGGUCUCCGCUAAGAGGUCUGCUGUUAGUCUGAUGGGUUUUCCUUUGUGUUUGAUGACCAUCUUGCACCUGGAUAUCUAAAUCUUUAGUGAUACCAGCUCUCUAUGAGAUGGAAAACCUGAGACACCGAAAGGUUACAUAAUUUCUGCAAGCUUGCACAUCUGGACGUGGUGAGGACAGACUCUACAGCCCUCCUCAGCAACCACCGGGGACAAGGCCAUGUGUGACAGAAGUGAAGAGAGUCCUAGGCAGAGGAACGCUAAUAAGGAAACUUAUUUCUACCUCCAGGUCUUUGCAAAGGGAGAAAUAAGUUUUAUAAUUUUGAGGUCACAAAGAAGGCUAAUAUGACUGGAGCAAAAUAAAUAA